ACCUGCCCUAUGAUGGAUAUUAAAUGGCCGCGAUAUUUUGAUCGUGCAAAGGUAGCAUAAUCAUUAGUUUUUUGAUUGAGAACUGGAAUGAAAGGUUGAACGAGAAAAGUACUGUCUCAAUUUAAUUUAAUUAGAAUUUUAUUUUUAAGUUAAAAAGCUUAAAUAUUUUUAAAAGACGAGAAGACCCUAUAGAGUUUAAUAUUUAAAAUUUUUAAAUAAAUAUAUAGUAUAUAAAUUUUUAUUUGGUUAUUAAAUAUUUGGUUGGGGUGAUUAGAAAAUUAAAAAAACUUUUCUUAAAUAUUAACAUUAAUAUAUGAAAAAUUGAUCCAUAUUUUAUGAUUAAAAGAUUAAAUUAC
rnacentral:rRNA from 1 species